AGAGUUUGAUCCUGGCUCAGGACGAACGCUGGCGGCGUGCUUAACACAUGCAAGUCGAACGAGAAUCUACUGAAAGAGUUUUCGGACAAUGGAUGUAGAGGAAAGUGGCGGACGGGUGAGUAACGCGUGAGGAACCUGCCUUGAAGAGGGGGACAACAGUUGGAAACGACUGCUAAUACCGCAUGACGCAUAGGGGUCGCAUGAUCUUUAUGCCAAAGAUUUAUCGCUUCAAGAUGGCCUCGCGUCUGAUUAGCUGGUUGGCGGGGUAACGGCCCACCAAGGCGACGAUCAGUAGCCGGACUGAGAGGUUGAACGGCCACAUUGGGACUGAGAUACGGCCCAGACUCCUACGGGAGGCAGCAGUGGGGAAUAUUGGGCAAUGGGCGCAAGCCUGACCCAGCAACGCCGCGUGAAGGAAGAAGGCUUUCGGGUUGUAAACUUCUUUUAAGAGGGAAGAGCAGAAGACGGUACCUCUAGAAUAAGCCACGGCUAACUACGUGCCAGCAGCCGCGGUAAUACGUAGGUGGCAAGCGUUAUCCGGAAUUACUGGGUGUAAAGGGAGCGCAGGCGGGAUAGCAAGUCAGCUGUGAAAACUAUGGGCUCAACCCAUAAACUGCAGUUGAAACUGUUAUUCUUGAGUGGAGUAGAGGCAAGCGGAAUUCCGAGUGUAGCGGUGAAAUGCGUAGAUAUUCGGAGGAACACCAGUGGCGAAGGCGGCUUGCUGGGCUCUAACUGACGCUGAGGCUCGAAAGUGUGGGGAGCAAACAGGAUUAGAUACCCUGGUAGUCCACACUGUAAACGAUGAAUACUAGGUGUGCGGGGACUGACCCCCUGCGUGCCGCAGUAAACACAAUAAGUAUUCCACCUGGGGAGUACGAUCGCAAGGUUGAAACUCAAAGGAAUUGACGGGGGCCCGCACAAGCGGUGGAUUAUGUGGUUUAAUUCGAAGCAACGCGAAGAACCUUACCAGGGUUUGACAUCCUGCUAACGAAGUAGAGAUACAUUAGGUGCCCUUCGGGGAAAGCAGAGACAGGUGGUGCAUGGUUGUCGUCAGCUCGUGUCGUGAGAUGUUGGGUUAAGUCCCGCAACGAGCGCAACCCCUAUUGUUAGUUGCUACGCAAGAGCACUCUAGCGAGACUGCCGUUGACAAAACGGAGGAAGGUGGGGACGACGUCAAAUCAUCAUGCCCCUUAUGACCUGGGCCACACACGUACUACAAUGGCUGUAAACAGAGGGAAGCAAAGCCGCGAGGUGGAGCAAAACCCUAAAAGCAGUCCCAGUUCGGAUCGCAGGCUGCAACCCGCCUGCGUGAAGUCGGAAUUGCUAGUAAUCGCGGAUCAGCAUGCCGCGGUGAAUACGUUCCCGGGCCUUGUACACACCGCCCGUCACACCAUGAGAGUCGGGAACACCCGAAGUCCGUAGCCUAACCGCAAGGAGGGCGCGGCCGAAGGUGGGUUCGAUAAUUGGGGUGAAGUCGUAACAAGGUAGCCGUUCGAGAACGAGCGGCUG
rnacentral:rRNA from 1 species